GUGACUCUGUAUCACACAUUGUCCCUAUGAGAUGCAGUCAGCUUGCGCUGGACUAUAGUCCCUGUGUUAUCAGCCAAGACUACAGACCCUGUGUUAUCAGCCAAGAUUUUCUCCUACACAGCAUCUGGUUCACGCAGAUGGCUGCUGGCCCAGAGAAGCUGACACAGUCCCAAGAGUCACAAGAAGGAGUGGCUCCCAUGCCCGCCAACUCUUGUUCCCUGCUAGAGGUUGGGGUCAUCUGGACAGAAGCAACCACCAGUGCCAGCAACACACAGGGAUUACACUUACAUACAAACUAUCCUCAACAAUAAAAGGACUUCCAGGUGAAUCACUAUCCCUGAACUCAAGCAGUAUUACAGAGGAAUAGUGAUAAAAACUGUAUGGUAUUGGUACAGAGACAGCCAGAUAGACCAGUGGAAUAAAAUUGAAGACCCAGAAAUG
rnacentral:lncRNA from 1 species